rnacentral:rRNA from 1 species
UACAGAGGUCCCAAGCGUUGUUCGGAUUCACUGGGCGUAAAGGGUGCGUAGGGGGCCGGUUAAGUCUGACGUGAAAUCUCCGAGCCUAACUCGGAAACUGCAUCGGAAACUAUCCGGCUCGAGGGUUGGAGGGGGGACUGGAAUACUUGGUGUAGCAGUGAAAUGCGUAGAUAUCAAGUGGAACACCAGUGGCGAAGGCGAGUCCCUGGACAACUCCUGACACUGAGGCACGAAAGCUAGGGGAGCAAACAGG